rnacentral:tRNA from 1 species
GAGGGCAUAGCUCAGUGGUACAGCACAUGCUUAGCAUGCACAAGGUCCUGGGUUCAAUCCCCAGUACCUCCA